rnacentral:rRNA from 1 species
GUGAGGAAUAUUGCGCAAUGGAGGCAACUCUGACGCAGCCAUGCCGCGUGCAGGAAGAAGGCGCUACGCGUUGUAAACUGCUUUUAACCGGGAAGAAACCCCAGGACGUGUCCUGGGUUGACGGUACCGGAGGAAUAAGUACCGGCUAACUUCGUGCCAGCAGCCGCGGUAAUACGAAGGGUGCAAGCGUUAUCCGGAUUCAUUGGGUUUAAUGGGUGCGUAGGCGGAGCGUUAAGUCAGUGGUGAAAUCCUGCAGCUUAACUGUAGACUUGCCAUUGAUACUGGCGCUCUUGAGUGCGCUUGAAGUGGGCGGAAUGUGCCGUGUAGCGGUGAAAUGCUUAGAUAUGGCACAGAACACCAAUUGCGAAGGCAGCUCACUAAGGCGAUACUGACGCUGAGGCACGAAAGCGUGGGGAUCGAACAGGAUUAGAAACCCGGGUAGUCC